UUUUCUAAGCAAUCUGGCAUGAUUGCCUUACUUUGCGCCGGGGAGUGAAGUACGAGUAGAAAAAUAUAAACAAAAUUAAACUAUUUAUUGAUUACUUGAUUACUUUUGCAAAAAAGAGCAUUAUUGUUAAUGAAUUCUACAAAAUAUAGGUAAUUAAUGUUUGUGUGUAUGUUUAUUUAUUUUUUUUAAUGCUGCUUGGAAAUUUCGUGUGGACGAAAAAAUCUUGACAAUUGGUUUUCGCUGGCCAAUUUUCUAAAUGAAAUUUCAUGGCAGACUAUUUUUCGCAGUCGCAAAACGAGUCAGAUUCUGAAAAAGAUACGAAUUCAGCUCUCUGUUGUUGCGAAUAUAUAAAUCACCAAAAUAAGCGUUAUCACAUUAUUGCAUGCUGCUGCAAUUGUGAAGAUUUUGACAAGGUAUUUACUGAUUGUUUUACCUGUCGACGCAUCGAUCGAUCUCGUCAACGCAAUAUGUUGUUAACUUUUCAGGACCGUUUACGGAUACCUUGGCAUGGUGGGGCAAAACAAGUCACAUUAGAUACUCUUGCGCCCGUAUUUAUUAUACCGCUAUUAAUAAGUAUAGCGGCCAUAAAUGCAUACACUUGCAUUGUAAUCUUCUUAGCAUGUUCUGCUAUUAUGUGUUACGCGUACAAUUAUAUUCACCGUAAUGCAGGACAUACUAAUUUCUUUAGUAUUUGGACUGUUUCGUCUUUAAUUUAUUUAAUAUUGUUAUUUGAGUUUACUGUCCCGCUAUUGGAGGUACUACCCGAGGAAAAUUUGGCUUUAGCGGUGCUCUCAAUAAUAUCCAUGCUUUGUUUUUGGCAAGCACGUAAACGAGCCAUCUUAAAUAGAGUCACACAACCUGUCACUGGCGGUAGCGAGCUGCCUGAUAUUGCAGAAACAACCGUUAAUGAGGAGAAUGAAGCAGAGCAAACAACGUUACUGAUUGAGCAAGAUAUGGAUGAUGUACAAUCGUUGGAUGGUGUCAACAGUAAUCAGGCAAAUCUCUGCGCGACUUGUCGCAAGUGUGUGCCAGCAAGAACUGCACACUGUCCUGUUUGCAGAGCUUGUAUUAAACGGCUUGAUCACCACAGUUACUGGCUAAAUUGUUGUAUAGGCGAAAGUAAUCAUCGCAUCUAUAUUGUUGGCAUGAUAUUUGGAAUUUUAGCUUUGAUAGUGGGCGCUGAUUUGACACUAACGGCGGUGUGCCAUCCAUUUUUAGCCGCUAACAUUGCAGGCAUGCAAAUUUUGCUACCAGACGAUUGUACUGAAAUUUUCGACAUGUAUGAAUUGGCUGUAGCGUUUGUUAUUGCUAUUUAUGCUUUAAUUAUAUCACAAUAUAUGAUGGUGAUGCUUGUGCAACAGGUUUAUAUGAUCUCACGUGGAAUAACAGUGUAUGAAUGGAAGAGCGGAUUGCGGGGAAAUAACAAAACACUGAAAUACAAUUGGAAGACUUUUGUUCUCUAAAAGUUGCUGCCGAAAUUUGUUUAAUUCAUUCAUGAUGUAGCGUUCCUCAACAACCAAAUUAUGAUUUACACAAGCAUCAAUUGUUCGUAGUCCACCCACUGUAGCUAAAGGAUUAAGCACUUUGUUUGGGGCGCUUUUCCCACAUAAUACGGAUUCAUCGUUCUGAUUGAUAUAGUCCUUCUCAAUAAAAUUUCUUACAAUAUCAGUUUUUAGUGAAUAUGAGUUUUUACUCGUGUUUCGCUUUCGUAUUCGAUCCCAUCGGUACUAAUUGAAAAUUUGUGAAAAUUAUGCGAUAUUCUACAAAUUGAAACAAACAAGUUGGUUGGUUUCCAAGGUAACCAAAUGAGUUCCACUUGGAAAAAGCACUGAUAUAUAAAAUCGGCUUUAUACAGCAAAACAAAUUGAAACCAGUUGUAAAUAAUUGACUUUACUACAUUGUUGUUGUUACAGUAAUAAAAAGGCAAAUCAUCUAAAUCGUUUAUAAAAGAAUCGGGUCUAAGUAAUCAAACUUAUUUCAGCCAAGCGCUAUCAACUCGUCAACACUCCUUACAAUUUGUGUAAUGUUUUAUGCCACCA